rnacentral:rRNA from 1 species
GACAGAGGGUGCAAACGUUGUUCGGAAUUACUGGGCGUAAAGCGCGUGUAGGCUGCUCGGAAAGUCGGGUGUGAAAGCCCUGGGCUCAACCUAGGAAGUGCACUCGAAACUUCCGAGCUGGAGUGCUGGAGAGGAAGGCGGAAUUCUCGGUGUAGAGGUGAAAUUCGUAGAUAUCGGGAGGAACACCGGUGGCGAAGGCGGCGACCUGGGUCGACACUGACGCUGAGGCGCGAAAGCGUGGGGAGCGAACAGG